UUACGGCUAUAUCAGGUUGAGACACCGGUUCUCGUACGAUCACCGAAGUUAAGCAACGUCGAAUCUGGUCAGUACCUCUAUGGGUAAACACUUAGGAUCACCAGGUGCUGUAAG